rnacentral:rRNA from 1 species
GAUGAACGCUGGCGGCGUGCCUAAUACAUGCAAGUCGAGCGAAUGGAUUAAGAGCUUGCUCUUAUGAAGUUAGCGGCGGACGGGUGAGUAACACGUGGGUAACCUGCCCAUAAGACUGGGAUAACUCCGGGAAACCGGGGCUAAUACCGGAUAACAUUUUGAACCGCGUGGUUCGUAAUUGAAAGGCGGCUUCGGCUGUCACUUAUGGAUGGACCCGCGUCGCAUUAGCUAGUUGGUGAGGUAACGGCUCACCAAGGCAACGAUGCGUAGCCGACCGGAGAGGGUGAUCGGCCACACUGGGACUGAGACCCGGCCGAGACUCCUACGGGAGGCAGCAGUAGGGAAUCUUGCGCAAUGGACGAAAGUCUGACGGAGCAACGCCGCGUGAGUGAUGAAGGCUUUCGGGUCGUAAAACUCUGUUGUUAGGGAAGAACAAGUGCUAGUUGAAUAAGCUGGCACCUUGACGGUACCUAACCAGAAAGCCACGGCUAACUACGUGCCAGCCGCCGCAGUAA